AAUGAGUGACACCAUGAGAAAAUUAUGUGGCGCAGAUCUCAACCAGGAGUUGAGGAAUCCAGAGGAAGAACGCAGUGGUGACUCCUGAGCCCGGGGAGUUGGCAGCGUGUGGGCUUCAGAGGAGCCAGCACCUCCGAGUAUGCCUGGAGGCCCAAGUCCUAAGCAAUUGUAGAGCCUGUCUAGUUGACAAAUGACACUGACCAUCCCAGAUGCACUGAUCUUGGGUUGUACUUCCUAAACUGCAUGCAAUAGGGCAAGUCAGUCUGCUGGUGUGAUUGGGGUCACCCUUCGGUCCAGGAUCUCACAGGCUAUCAUCCUGAAUCACAGGAGGAAGGAAGUAGCCAGUGAAAAGGCCUUUCUCAUGACUUAAGUUUGUGACAUCAACCAUGCCAAGGUGCCUUGGGAAAGAAGUGGCUGAAGAUUUCCCCAGGGACAGGCUGCAUCCUCCAUCUGCGGCUGGGCCAUGCUUGGCUGGACUUUCAACUCUAUUACAACACUCCUUCUUCCAUUCUAUAGAAGACAAAUUCCUUUUCAGGUUGUUGUCUUAGUUUUGGUUUUUUGGUGUUUUUUUAAAUGACUAUUACCUUUGCAUGGGCAUAUUUUAAGUUAGCCAUUUUUUUAAAUGGAUAUUUUUAUUGUCUCUGGUGCUCCACUGUUACAAAUAUGUAAACACUUUUGGAGGUAAAUGCUUGUGGGCAAUUUAAGGAAAAUCCCCAGAAAUUGAAGUGUGAAGUUGAAAGAUCUGUUUUGAAAGUUAUCAGUUGGUAGAUCCUGUUCCAGAAAAGCAUCAGUGUCUAUUUUAGAACCUGACCCUUUUGGGCUCUCACACGAAAAUGCAUGCCCAUAGGUCCCAGAGACAUCAGAAGCUCUGAUUAAAGUCCGGGACAUUUUAGAUGUAUCCACAUCACUCCAUGGAGACUUUGGCUAACCAUGUCUGAGAAUCACCUGCUAUCUUUCCAAUGUCAGGACUACACAUUUUAACACACCCUUCCUAUUCUUAUAUACAUCAAAGCCUGAGAACUACUUACACGUCGUGUCUAGUUGAUACUUAAUCAAUUCCAUAGGCUUUUAUCACACAGAAAAAUGUUAGGGAACCCUGAGCUGGUAUAUUGUAGUCUGUAUUGCUAUAACAAAACACCUGGUAAAUAAAACUAUCAUUCAAAAGAUA